GAGAGGGCGGGAGACAGAGCGAGACAGAGUCGGAUUUAUCAGUCGCUGAAAGCAGAUUAAACGGUUAAACUGAAGUGCGUCUCGAAACUCCCAUCGGACUAACCAGCCUUCGCUUUAUUUAUUUACCGUCCCAAAUGAGUGUUCUGUCGGCGCAAGGCGAUGGAUUGUUCACGAAAAUGUUAGGCUACUCUUCGUGUAAGAGCUGAGGACACCGUGGAGAUCCCAUCAUGGCAGCAAGCAAGUGUCCAUGUCUGAUGCAGAGGACCACUGGAUCAAGAAGAAAACAAAGCACCUGCAAACUCUGGAAUUCAUUAUUGAUGAAACAAGACUUCUAAAUCUUUCUCUUUGCUUAAAGUAACCUGCAAAUGCAGUGCCACUGGAAUGCAGAUGGAUAGGACAAAAACUUCAAAAUCCUUCACACUGCAUAUAGUUUUUUUGAGCUAGCCAAUGAAAUCAAUUCAUUUAAUGUUAGCUGUCGAACUAACUGACUGAGGCAUCGGAAUGAUGAGUAGACUCAAAUGAGCAAACCAGUGCUGUAAAGAAUUGGUGAUGCAGUCCAAGGAAAAGUUCCUCCUCAAUGGGAAAAUAUAUAAUCUGACUCUAAGGUAAGUAUGGAGUGUGUAUGCAUGUUUGUGUGUACUGGUCUGUCCGUAGUGUUGUGUGUUUACAUGUGUAAAUGGCUCAUUGAUCGGCUCAGUGUGUGACGCAAUAACCUCUGUCCCAGCCUUUACAAAUCUAAUCCAAUUAGAAUACUUGUCAGUAACCUUAGGGCCGUCUGUCUGUAACAUUCUGUGCAUGUACACUAUAAAAAAAAAAAGUAAAUGAAUACAUGGUCCAAUCUGUGCUAAUUGAAGGAAUUUUCAGUAUUGAUUUUUUUUUUCUCCCAGAUUUGAACUCGUCCUGGCAUAACAUUACCAGUACCUUUUACAUUUCUGUCAAGUUCCUAGGCUACUUACAUUGGAAUAUAACAUCUACACUACAGGCUUAGUAACUACUAGCUAGUUUGUAACUAACUCUGUAAUUUAUUCGGUUGCACCGUUUGUUCUUAAGGCAGAACGUAGCUGGUAGGUUGUAAGCUUUCCAUUAAAGUUAUGCGUAGUCGCAUAACAUUUACCCUCAGUUAUCCAAAAGCAGUUGUGAUAAAAUUAGAUACAUAAAUGCUGAUACAAAAAAAGAUAUGACAUUUUUUUAUUAUGAUUGAUUUAAUUUGACUUACACAUCAUGGACCGUUGCACACAGAGGUGCGUUGUUUAGAUCGGGAUCAUGUUGAAGAGCUGCUAACAAAGUAUUUACUCACAUAAUGUUCUAGUUGUAAUGUAAACACAACACACCCAUUAUUUUUUAUUUAAUUUUUUUUACAGCGGCAUUAGCAAAGUCUGUGAAUGAUGUUUGUGAGACAGACAUGUUGUGAUACACCUGACGUUUGUAACUGUGUUUGACUCUUUUAGCCUGUUGAAGGAUCUAUUACUGGCUGGGAUCCUAUGACAGAUAGACUAAGUGUACGUUUUUAAGCUAUUUAGCAUUGCUCAGUGCUAAUGUAUAACAUAGUAAGCACAGUCUGCCCUAACUGGUCCACUACCCGUAAUCCUCCCAUGUGAAUGUGAAUGAAUUGCAGACAAUUCUUGCGUUAAGUAGUUCAACCUAGCCAUUAGCGUUAGCUGGCCAUGCUAAUGAUAGAAUACAGCCAUUAUCUCUCAGAUAGAGAGCAUGAGCAGACCUUUUUUAUGAGGGAACAUGGGCAUGAGGGGGAAUUAAACCCCACUCUACAGGCCACUAAUCUAAUAUAGAGCGAAAGAGAGAGAGAGAGAGUCAGAGAGAGAGAGCAUAAACUGAAAUGUUUCAUUUUGAAAUUCAUUGAAUAUGGGCCCCUAUUCCAAUGUUACAACACAGAUUUAAUUUCUGGAUCCAUUUUAGUGAUCUAGCAGUUCACAGACUCCUAACUAUAAUUGAAUCUCUCUAUCUUUAGUAUAUGAAAUAAUCUUAAAGGGAUACUCCACCCCAAAAUGAAAAUUUUGUCAUUAAUCACUUACCCCCAUGUCGUUCCAAACCCGUAAAAGCUUCAUGGCUUGUGACUGUCCCAUAGACUGCCAAGUAAAUUACACUGUCAAGGUCCAGGAAAGUAUGAAAGACAUCGUGAGAAUAGUCCAUCUGCCAUCAGUGGUUCAACUGUAACGUUAUGAAGCGACGAGAAUACUUUUUGUAAGCGAAGAAAACAAAAAUAACUACUUUAUUCAACAAUUCGUCUCCUCUGUGUCUCUCCACAUCACCGUAGUGCCAUUUUGGAGAAUAUCCGCUGGACGCAGGCCACGUACGCUCUUCUGUGUCAGCUGCGCCACAAGGAUGCUCUGUUUUCGUUCAAAUCAAAGCGUAAAUACACAUAGAAAAUGUAUCCUUGUGUCGCGGCUGACACAGAAUAGCGUACACAGUUUGCAUUCAGCAGUUAUUCUCCAAAAUACGGCUACGGUGAUGCGGAGAGACACAGAGGAGAAAAUUGUUGA
ensembl:lncRNA